rnacentral:rRNA from 1 species
GGCCACAGCCAUAUCACCUUGCAGCCCAAUACUGGUUGCGCACUGAAGCUAAGCAGGGUUGAGCCUGGUCAGUAUAUUUAUUACAUUUACAUUUACAUUUAUUCAUUUAGCAGACGCUGUUAUCC